rnacentral:tRNA from 1 species
GGUUUCAUGGUGUAGUUGGUUAUCUCGCCCGCUUUACACGCGGAAGGUCUCCGGUUCGAUCCCGGGUGAAAUCA